UUUAGACAUUCACCUAAAUAUCAAUUAUUUCUUCUCGAUCCCAAAAAUAUUAUCAUCAUAGGUAAGCCUGUUUUGAUAUAGCCAUGAUAUCACAUCGUUACCUACAAAUAGGGCAUGAAGGAUGAAAAAGAUGCAUCAUAGAAUUCUAGGAAAUGCUUUGUUCACUAGACAAAUAUUAUCUGUCCAACCUCAGAAGGAAACAUACAAAACAUGUUUACCAUGAAGCAUAUCUGAAAUGUGGUGCAUCCCAUCAAAUUAGAAAACCAAAUUUGCACAUGCAGAUGCAUAACAGUUAGAAAGUAGGGAUCAUCUGGUAAAAUAAAUUUAAGACAAAAAGAAGAAGCAAACAAUGGAAAAGGAAUAGAAGACAUUUUUUUGUCUCGUGCAUGUACUAUAAAUAUUAUAGACUGCUCACCAGCUUACUUAAAUGCGUGAAACAUGUUGAAACACUGAGACUUGAGAUCCCAACUAGCCUACUUUUUCAUAUGUGCAGCACAACUCACUUAAACUGUUAAACAUGAUAAUAAGAAUUCUGCAGAAAGGCAAGUAACAACAUAGCAAACUUCACUACUUCAGUGAAUACUAAUAUGCUUGCUGGUAGAUGUGCUAACAAACUCUGCAAAAACAAUGCCCUAAACUAUCAAAAGUAUUUUGCAAACUGGUGCACCAAAACUUGCAGCUUUCAAUUUGAAAAAUGGUAAGAGGGAAAGAAAUGGAAAUCAAAAAUGAAGAAAAAAGAAAAAGAACAGCACGGGAAUCAGAAAUGUUUAUAGCAGAAUCAAAAGAAAAUAAGAAAGGGAAAAGAGAGAAGGUUGUGCAUGUUUCAAACUUUUUAUGCAGCGGCUUAACAGUUAGUUCUUUUACAGUUUACUAUAGUGACAUUUAAAGCUAUUAAUGAUCUUAAUCCACGGAACACAAAAAAAGGAUCUACAAGAAUGUUCAGAAGGAGUCUACUAAAAUAUAGCCACAAUAACAAAUACAGGGGUUGAUAAACAAAAUCAUACCUCCAAGUACUCAAAGAGCUCCACCACACCAUCUCGGAAAGCAAUUGCAGCAUCAGACACAGAUUUUUUGAUAGCUUCAUACGUAAGACCACCUUCAAUAAGGAGACCAUGAGUCUUCUCCCACCUGUAGCACAUACCAACUUCAAGUGUCAGCUAUGGCCAUUAGACAUCUAAUCAAGUUCAUGACUUCAGGUUGCACUCCAAAGUGGUGACAUUUUAUUAUUGAGAAGAAGAAUGAACACUGUCAGAGCACACUUCAAUCACUGCACCCACAACCUAUAUGCCAACCAACACCAAGAAGAUGUUCAUUCCAACUUAUCAGAAUGGGUUCUUGUGCAGCAUCGUGAACUCAAUUGCAACUGGCAC
rnacentral:lncRNA from 1 species